GCUAGGCAUAGUGGCAUGUGCCUGUAAUUCCAGCUGCUUAAAGGCUGAGGCAGGAGAAUUGCUUGAGUCCAGGAGUUCAAGGACAGCCUGGGCAACAUAGCAAGACUCAGUUUUCC
rnacentral:sRNA from 1 species